AAUGCUGCAGUCAUUCCACCAUAAUUUAGGACACAUUUCACCAUGGAUGUCUCCAGAGAAGUAUUAGUAUACAUCUGGCUCUGCAAGUGUGAUUACAACUUUAAUUUUUUUUAGCAGUUUUUAUUCAACUCUCCAAAUGAGGAGAAGUCUCUUUGAUCUGUCAGGUUGUCCAAAUGUAAUGAAGUUUCUACAAGACAAUAUCUAACGCUUAUAUGAAAAUUAUAUGUAGCUAUCUUAAUUAGUUAUUAAUUGACAGCUAUGAUUCAACAAUCUUCUCAUCUCCAUAGGUCUCUCCUCUAUGCACAUACUGGUGUUAGUGUUGUGCGGCUCUGCCUUCGUAGUGGCACUUGUUGUUUCUGCUAUGAUCCUUUUGGACAUCAAAGAGAGACAAACGAUGAGGAAAUGUGAGGUGGAAUAUGAAUACUCAGCCAUGGAGGAUGGUGAACUAGAUAUGGUUGAAGGGGAAAUAAUUGAGAUUCUUCAAAAGGUAAAUAUGGUCUUUGUAAAGUUAGUGAUCAAAAAUCUUUAUUGAUGUUUUGAACAUGUGAUUUGAACAUACUGUACAUAUUUUGCAGGCUAAAAUAUACUCUCUGGAUUAAUAAUGAUAAUUUCAUGAAAAGAAAGGGAGCCUCUUGUUUUCAUUUUGGUAUUUUUUCAGUAUAUCAUCUUUAUCACUUCCUCUCCCUCUUUCUUAGGAUGGAUGGAGUCUCGGGAAACAUAAUGGGAAAGUGGGACUUUUUCCAUCAAACUGCAUCCAAGAAAUGUCCACUUUCCAAGAGACAGGAAAGGUGAUGAAAAGCAAGGUGCGGUGGGAAUACUCAGCCAAAGAGGAUGAUGAACUGGAUCUAGUUGCUGGAGAGACAAUUGAGAUUCUUGAAGUGUUUGAUGAUGAAUGGUAUCGAGGGAAUUAUAAUGGCAAAGUGGGACUUUUUCCAUCAUGCCUCGUCCAAGAAAUCUCCCCUCUCCAAGGAAAGGUGAUGCAAGGCAAGGUGUUGCAUGGAUACUCAGCAAUGAAGGACGAAGAACUGGAUCUAGUUGCUGGAGAGACAAUUGAGAUUCUUCAAAUGGAUAAUGGAAUUUGGAGUCUUGGGAAACAUAAAGGGAAAGUGGGACUUUUUCCAUUGUUCUAUGUCCAAGAAAUUUCUGCCCUCCAAGGUAAGAUUUUACACAUUCCCAAAUGAGAGUUAAAAAAAUGACUUUGUUAAAAAGUAAGGCUGGCACUGGCUUAGGGUCCAAAGCACAUCCAAACCACUUGGUGGCAGUAUUGAUAAAUGCGACAUCCAACUUGAGAUACGCCAGUCUCCCUAUUGCAUGCC
rnacentral:lncRNA from 1 species